rnacentral:lncRNA from 1 species
AAACCUAGGCAGCAUAGCCAAACCCUGUCUGCACAAAAAUGUAAAAUAAAAUUAGUCAGGUAUGGUGGAGGAUGAGUCCUAGCUACUUAGGAGGCUGAGGUGUGUGGAUCACUUGAGCCAGGAGUUCAAGGCUGCAGUGAGUCAUGACAGGACAGAGGGAGAUCUGUCUACUGUCUGUCCCUAUAGAAAAAGAAAAAAACAGGAUGCCAGAGGAAAUGCAUCAAUGCGGAGGGACAGAAACAGCAGUGUGGCCUGGGAAAGAGUGAAAAUUGAGGCAGAUUCAUAAAGAAGUCUAAGAGUUUUGGGGAUGUUGGGGACUAUCAAGGUUGACAGUCUCUCCAUUAGAAAUUCUUCCCCAGAUUCCCAGGAGAAACUUUGAAAUAAAUUACUCAA